rnacentral:tRNA from 1 species
GCUAGGAUAGUUUAUUAAAAUAUUACAUUGUGGUUGUAAAGAUAUAUUUGUAUUUUUAGCA